rnacentral:rRNA from 1 species
GAUCAUGGCUCAGAUUGAACGCUGGCGGAAUGCUUUACACAUGCAAGUCGAACGGUAGAGGGGGCAACCCCUCGAGAGUGGCGAACGGGUGAGUAAUAUAUCGGAACGUGCCCAGUCGUGGGGGAUAACGUAGCGAAAGUUACGCUAAUACCGCAUACGAUCUACGGAUGAAAGCGGGGGAUCGCAAGACCUCGCGCGAUUGGAGCGGCCGAUAUCAGAUUAGGUAGUUGGUGGGGUAAAGGCUCACCAAGCCAACGAUCUGUAGCUGGUCUGAGAGGACGACCAGCCACACUGGAACUGAGACACGGUCCAGACUCCUACGGGAGGCAGCAGUGGGGAAUUUUGGACAAUGGACGCAAGUCUGAUCCAGCCAUUCCGCGUGCAGGAUGAAGGCCCUCGGGUUGUAAACUGCUUUUGUACGGAACGAAAAGGUUUCUAUUAAUACUAGGAGCUCAUGACGGUACCGUAAGAAUAAGCACCGGCUAACUACGUG